AACGAACGCUGGCGGCAGGCCUAACACAUGCAAGUCGAACGCCCACUUCGGUGGGAGUGGCGCACGGGUGAGUAACACGUGGGAACCUACCCUUCGGUGCGGAACAACCCAGGGAAACUUGGGCUAAUACCGCAUACGACCUUCGGGUGAAGAUUCAUCGCCGAGGGAAGGGCCCGCGUCCGAUUAGGUAGUUGGUGGGGUAACGGCCUACCAAGCCGACGAUCGGUACCUGGUCUGAGAGGAUGAUCAGGCACACUGGGACUGAGACACGGCCCAGACUCCUACGGGAGGCAGCAGUGGGGAAUAUUGGACAAUGGGCGAAAGCCUGAUCCAGCCAUGCCGCGUGAGUGAUGAAGGCCUUCGGUUGUAAGCUCUUUCGGCCGGGAGAAGAUGACGGUACCUGACUAAGAAGCCCCGGCUAACUACGUG
rnacentral:rRNA from 1 species